AUGACUAGGGAUAACCUUAGGAAGAGACACAUCAUCAAACCCCUUGAUUGUGUUUACUGCUUGGAACAAGAGUCUUGUUCUCACCUAUUUUUUGAAUGUAUAGUUGCUAAACAUCUCUGGGCCCACAUUGAGGAAUAUUUCUCUAGUCAGAUUGGCUCAUCCUUCGAAUCUGUCGCCAGAUUCUGGAUUGCUACCAAAAGCUGCUCAGUUUUAAACACUGUUAGCUCAGCUGUCCUUUGGUGCCUCUAAAAAUAUAAAAAUGCUAUGAUUUUCAGUAACACCUCCUGGAUUUCCAUUCCGAAGGUCUUGAGGUUGAUAAGGAACAUGGUGAGGAACUGGGCGAUUCUUCCUCCGGAUCGGACAAGGAUAAGUUGA
rnacentral:rRNA from 1 species